GACGAACGCUGGCGGCGUGCUUAACACAUGCAAGUCGAACGAAGAGCGAUGGAUGCUUGCUUCUAUCAAUCUUAGUGGCGAACGGGUGAGGAAAGCGUAAUCAACCUUCCCUUCAGAGGGGGAUAACAGAUGGAAACGAUUGCUAAUACCGCAUACGCUCUAAACUCGGCAUCGAGGGUAGAUUAAAGGUGGCCUCGACAUGUAACCUAUCACUUCAGGAGGGGAUUGCGGCUGAUUAGCUAGUUGGAGGGGUAACGGCCCACCAAGGCGAUGAUCAGUAGCCGGUCUGAGAGGAUGAACGGCCACAUUGGGACUGAGACACGGCCCAGACUCCUACGGGAGGCAGCAGUGGGGAAUCUUCCGCAAUGGACGAAAGUCUGACGGAGCAACGCCGCGUGAGUGAUGACGGCCUUCGGGUUGUAAAGCUCUGUUAAUCGGGACGAAAGGCCUUCUUGCGAAUAGUGAGAAGGAUUGACGGUACCGGAAUAGAAAGCCACGGCUAACUACGUG
rnacentral:rRNA from 1 species